rnacentral:rRNA from 1 species
GACAGAGGGUGCAAGCGUUGUUCGGAAUUACUGGGCGUAAAGCGCGUGUAGGCGGCCCUGCAAGUCGGAUGUGAAAUCCCACGGCUCAACCGAGGAACUGCGUCCGAUACUGGCAGGCUGGAAUCCGGGAGAGGGAUGUGGAAUUCCAGGUGUAGCGGUGAAAUGCGUAGAUAUCUGGAGGAACACCGGUGGCGAAGGCGGCAUCCUGGACCGGUAUUGACGCUGAGGCGCGAAAGCUAGGGGAGCAAACGGG